GAUGAACGCUGGCGGCGUGCCUAAUACAUGCAAGUCGAGCGAACAGACGAGGAGCUUGCUCCUCUGACGUUAGCGGCGGAUGGGUGAGUAACACGUGGAUAACCUACCUAUAAGACUGGGAUAACUUCGGGAAACCGGAGCUAAUACCGGAUAAUAUAUUGAACCGCAUGGUUCAAUAGUGAAAGACGGUUUUGCUGUCACUUAUAGAUGGAUCCGCGCCGCAUUAGCUAGUUGGUAAGGUAACGGCUUACCAAGGCAACGAUGCGUAGCCGACCUGAGAGGGUGAUCGCCCACACUGGAACUGAGACACGGUCCAGACUCCUACGGGAGGCAGCAGUAGGGAAUCUUCCGCAAUGGGCGAAAGCCUGACGGAGCAACGCCGCGUGAGUGAUGAAGGUCUUCGGAUUGUAAAACUCUGUUAUUAGGGAAGAACAAAUGUGUAAGUAACUAUGCACGUCUUGACGGUACCUAAUCAGAAAGCCACGGCUAACUACGUG
rnacentral:rRNA from 1 species